CCUUCUAUAGAAUAAGGUGGAUCACCUAAAGCGUUGUUUUGUAUGGAAAGUUAAUGAUGCAUACACUGUUACUUGUGAAUAUUGACUAGUUAACUUGUCAACCAUUUGCAGACCAAAAAAGCAUAUGUGAUUUGGAUACCGAGCAUGUCUAUAGUAUAUUUUAACUGAGCAACCCAGGCCUUGGAUUGGGAUGCAAACUCCUUGUGAUGGUACGAUAGUAUAAUAUUUCAGAGCAUGUACAACUAUCUCACUUAAAAAUGGACACAUUCAUAAAAGCAAUAACUUAAAUCUAUAAAUAAUACCUCUAUGUAAUCUUGCUCUCGCACCUAAUCAUUUGGGCCAAAAUCAAGCGUGAGCUCAUGUUUGCAUAUAGAUGGCUUCAAACAAAGGGGACUAGGGAACAUCAUCACAGGGCUAUGUAUGUCUAUCCACUGUCCCGGAAGCAGUACUGCGUCAACUCAUUCAGUCAGUGAAAUUCCCCUUAUCUCUGGCAUAGGCAUAGACUCAUAGUGAGAAUAUUUCUGUAGCAGUGUACAAGAAUACAUGCAAUGGUGAUGGUGUUAACAAGGCAAUCUGAAAUGGUGAACUUGUCAGCAUCUUCUACAUUUUAAAUAUCACCUGUAAGAACAGAACACUGGCUGUUGCAUAUGGGCUGCACCCGCAUCAUAUCGACUGUCCAAUGACCACACAUGGGUGUCUGUCCCAAUGGGACCGGCCAUCAUAGGGUCAUGCUGAAACUAAGGUCAAACAACGAUGGUGGGAUUGGCUCAUUAGCAGUAUGAUGAUUAUUGAUUCACACUGGCUGUAGUAACACUUCAACUAACACGUACGCCUCAAGGUAAGUAAUUUCGAAGUUCAUUAUUAGUGUCUAACUAAUCUCAUUUACUCCUCCUAUAUAGAACGCUUUCGCGUUAAUUUAACUUCUUUUGUAACACGGGCAUGGUUUUUCUUAUCAUUGAUUGUCGUGCAGUUACUGGCCUUAUCAUCGAGAUAUGGUAUAUCGAUCCAGUUAAAAAAUAUUAAAAAUAAGUAAAUUUAUAUGGUUUUUAUUAAUUUUUCCAAAUAGGCACGGUAAACGCUCUUAUCGCAGGGAAGGGUAACCACUUCCCCAAUGAUAAGGAUACAUAAUCUUCGUCAGCUACUCCCUCCAUUUCAAAAUAAUUCAAAAUUUUCAUUCAUA